GAUGAACGCUGGCGGCGUGCCUAAUACAUGCAAGUCGAGCGAACGGACGAGAAGCUUGCUUUUCUGAUGUUAGCGGCGGACGGGUGAGUAACACGUGGAUAACCUACCUAUAAGACUGGGAUAACUUCGGGAAACCGGAGCUAAUACCGGAUAAUAUUUUGAACCGCAUGGUUCAAAAGAGAAAGACGGUCCUGCUGUCACUUAUAGAUGGAUCCGCGCUGCAUUAGCUAGUUGGUAAGGUAACGGCUUACCAGGGCAACGAUGCAUAGCCGACCUGAGAGGGUGAUCGGCCACACUGGAACUGAGACACGGUCCAGACUCCUACGGGAGGCAGCAGUAGGGAAUCUUCCGCAAUGGGCGAAAGCCUGACGGAGCAACGCCGCGUGAGUGAUGAAGGUCUUCGGAUCGUAAAACUCUGUUAUUAGGGAAGAACAUAUGUGUAAGUAACUGUGCACAUCUUGACGGUACCUAAUCAGAAAGCCACGGCUAACUACGUG
rnacentral:rRNA from 1 species